GAUCCAAAUCAACUCUUAAUUCUCUCUCUCUAAGACUCAGAGCUUCAAUUUUCUCUGGUAUCUCGAACCGAUCCUUAAAGACAUCAAAUUUCUCAUCAUCUCGAACCGAUGACAUAAGAAAGUGAGUGUUAAAUUAUAGUUCUUGAAGCUAAAUUGGGGGUUUCGAUCAAAUUUCUCAUCAUCUCUCUAUUCAGACUUCUUCCCCUAUUGCAUGUAUAAGAAGAUGAAUAUGAAUAUGCUUCACAGGAAUCAAGUGUCGGUGAAGUGGAUUUUGAAGAUGAUUGUAAGAAGGAUGAAGGAAUCCAGCGGCUUGACCGAAUAUUUUUAGGUUUCAACAAUCACCAUUAACAACUUCUUGCCAGUUGAAAUCUCAACCCUUCACACGAACCCAUAUUUUUAGGUAAUAAUCUGAACAUGGUUAACCAUAAAGAUGAUCUUAAUGUUGGAAUGGCCCUUUUUAAUCUUUCAAUUGUUUAUGGAUUUAGAAGGAAUAAGAAAGACCUGUGAUUCAGCUUCCAAAGAUGCUUAUUCUGCUCCGAGAUAUCAUAGGCAUCUGCUGAUAUGAAAGGGAAGGAAGCAAACGGCAGACUGUCAAAUGAGUCGUUGGCGUCCCAGAGAUUAUCUGAUGAUUCAUCAUCGUAUUCAUCGCGUUUAGGUUUAGAAAGGCGGUUGUUGAUAGAUUUGAAUCAAGAAUAUGUAGACGAGGAAUGAAGAUGGAGUGGCUGAUUCAACAGAGGCCAGAGACAGCACUUAUCCAAGGAAUUAUUAAAGAGAUUAGUAGCAGAUUAGAUCCAUACAAAGGGAGUAAACUCCCACACAUGAUUGAAUUGGAGUCUUCCAUUAGAAUAGUCACUUCAUCAACUUACGAUUAUGGUGUAUUUUUAAGCUUUAGAGGCAGCAACAAAGCUUGGAUUUGAUUUAAAGGCAGCAAGAAAGCUCAAGAAGCGAAGACUGUAGUCUCUCACGGUGCUAUUCACACCGAGCGAAGGCUGCACCAGAUGAUGCUCGAGGAUCACUGGGUUUGAAGUUAGAACUGUGCACAACGGACAGAGUCGGGCUUUUAUCUGACGUGACUCGUAUUUUCCGCGAAAAUAGUCUCCAGGUCACGAGAGCCGAGGCAGCAACAAAGCUUGAAUUUCAUUUAAAGGCAACAACAAAGCUUGAAUUUCAUUUAAAGGCAGCAACAAAGCUCGAGAAGCGAAGACUGUAACAAUCCUCGGUAACAAUAUGUGAAAGCCAAAUAGAAGCCAGCUGGACAGCACUGAAGGCUUGGAAAAGUGGCAAUAAAGUUACCUAAGAAUAAAAUAGAUGUUUUUAUUAAAGAAAAUAGGAUUUAUUUCUAUGAAAUGUGUGUACUGAAAACUUGGGUUUUACCCAUGUGUUUAAUAUUAUAAAAUGUGAUGGUUUACUCUGAUAACAUAUUUCCUAACUACGGUCCUGAUGAAAAAUUC
rnacentral:lncRNA from 1 species